rnacentral:rRNA from 1 species
GUGUCAGCAGCCGCGGUAAGACGGAGGGUGCAAGCGUUGUUCGGAAUUACUAGGCGUAAAGAGCGUGUAGGUGGUUAGCUAAGUCGGAUGUGAAAAUUCCGAGCUCAACUCGGAACCUGCAUUCGAAACUGGUUAACUUGAGUGUGGGAGAGGAGAGUGGAAUUCCUAGUGUAGCGGUGAAAUGCGUAGAUAUUAGGAAGAACACCAGUGGCGAAGGCGACUCUCUGGCCUAAAACUGACACUGAGACGCGAAAGCGUGGGGAGCGAACAGGAUUAGAUACCCUGGUAGUCCACGCUGUAAACGAUGGGCAUUAGGUGUAGGAGGUAUCCAAUCCUUCUGUGCCGAAGCUAACGCAUUAAAUGCCCCGCCUGGGGAGUACGGUCGCAAGGCUGAAACUUAAAUGAAUUGACGGGG